rnacentral:rRNA from 1 species
UGGGGAAUUGUUCGCAAUGGGCGCAAGCCUGACGACGCAACGCCGCGUGGAGGAUGAAGAUUUUCGGAUCGUAAACUCCUGUCGAACGGGACGAACGGCCCGGCCGUGAACAGCGGCCGGGAGUGACGGUACCGUGAGAGGAAGCCCCGGCUAACUCCGUGCCAGCAGCCGCGGUAAUACGGGGGGGGCAAGCGUUGUUCGGAAUUACUGGGCGUAAAGAGCUCGUAGGUGGCCGCUUUAGUCCGACGUGAAAUCCCUCGGCUCAACCGGGGAACUGCGUCGGAGACUGGGCGGCUUGAAUCCGGGAGAGGGACGUGGAAUUCCAGGUGUAGCGGUGAAAUGCGUAGAUAUCUGGAGGAACACCGGUGGCGAAGGCGGCGUCCUGGACCGGCAUUGACACUGAGGAGCGAAAGCCAGGGUAGCAAACGG